AUUUCAUUAGUAUAUUAGUAUAUUUAAUUUCCAAUUAAAAGGAUUAAAAAGAUUAAAUGAGAUA
rnacentral:tRNA from 1 species